GGUCAAGCAAGAAAGAGCGCAGGGUGGAUGCCUUGGCACUAAGAGCCGAAGAAAGACGUGAUAAGCUGCGAAAAGCUGCGGGGAGGAGCAAAUAUCCAUUGAGCCGCAGAUAUCUGAAUGGGGAAACCCGGCUGGACGAACUCCAGUCAUCCAUACGCCAAUCCAUAACGUAUGGAAGGGAACCCGGUGAACUGAAACAUCUAAGUAGCCGGAGGAAUAGAAAGAAACAAGUUCUUUCAUUAGAAAGAAAAAUCGAUUUCCAAAGUAGCGGCGAGCGAAAUGGAAAGAGGCCAA
rnacentral:rRNA from 1 species